UACGUAGGGGGGCAAGCGUUGUCCGGAAUCAUUGGGCGUAAAGCGCGUGUAGGCGGCUCGGUAAGUCCGCUCUGAAAAGUCCAGGGCUCAACCCUGGGAUGCGGGUGGAUACUGCCGGGCUCGAGUCCGGAAGAGGCGAGUGGAAUUCCUGGUGUAGCGGUGAAAUGCGCAGAUAUCAGGAGGAACACCAAUUGCGAAGGCAGCUCGCUGGGACGUUACUGACGCUGAGACGCGAAAGCGUGGGGAGCAAACAGG
rnacentral:rRNA from 1 species